GAUGAACGCUGGCGGCGUGCCUAACACAUGCAAGUCGAACGGAGCUGCUUUGAUGAAGUUUUCGGAUGGAUUUAAAACAGUUUAGUGGCGGACGGGUGAGUAACGCGUGGGUAACCUGCCUCACACUGGGGAUAACAGUUAGAAAUAGCUGCUAAUACCGCAUAAGCGCACAGUUCCGCAUGGAACAGUGUGAAAAACUCCGGUGGUGUGAGAUGGACCCGCGUCUGAUUAGCCAGUUGGCGGGGUAACGGCCCACCAAAGCGACGAUCAGUAGCCGGCCUGAGAGGGUGAACGGCCACAUUGGGACUGAGACACGGCCCAAACUCCUACGGGAGGCAGCAGUGGGGAAUAUUGCACAAUGGGGGAAACCCUGAUGCAGCGACGCCGCGUGAGUGAAGAAGUAUUUCGGUAUGUAAAGCUCUAUCAGCAGGGAAGAAAGUGACGGUACCUGAAUAAGAAGCCCCGGCUAACUACGUGCCAGCCGCCGCCGUAA
rnacentral:rRNA from 1 species